GCGCGUGAGAGCGGCCUCAGGUGGAGCACAUGGGACCCGGCCACGCGGCCUGCCGGGCCUGCUCGUGCUCUUUAGGCUGGGUGUCAGAUUCAGGGGAAGGAGCCAUUAGUGUCAUUCCUGACUUCUAGGAGGCCGAAGGGAGGACCCUCAUCCGCCCCGAGGACGCGCCAACGCCGCCCCCUCCCCUGUGCCCGGCGGGCCUGGCCCCUUCGGUCCCCGCCCGGGUGACCUUGGUUGGGUGAGCCGUCCGCACCUCAGUGGGUUGUGCUCCGCGCCUCGCCGCCGCUGGGCCUGGCCUCGACACUACCCGGAGAUGGGUUCAACUCCGGGCCUGGAAAGCGAGUCUUUAGCCCUUGCGGGCAGCCGGCGCCUAGGAAGUGGGAACGGAAUUACUAAAGCCCUCACCCAGGCCAGGCCCUUCUCCCCGCCGCGAAACCUUGUAUUUAUGGGCAGGAAAUGUCUUUUCUUUCAAGUGGAUGUCGUUUUUUUUCUAAAGAAUUGCUUUGGGCGGAGUUGAACCGUCCCUGGAUUGGGACUUCUGAGAUCUGAGAUUUUAUCCUGGCCCUGCCCCCUUACCAUCUCUGCAGCAGUGACUUCCAGCUUCGUGGGCCUCAGUUUCUCUAUUGUAAAAUGAAGGAGCAGUGUAUGACAGCAGUUUCAAACUUCAGUGUACAUUCGAUUCAAUACUUACUGACCUCGUACUGUGGGGGCCUUGCAGGGUUCUAGGAAACGGGUUUGGUAUAAACUAGGCUAACAAAGUCCCUAUCCUCAUGGAAUUUAUUCUAAGGUGGGGAAAGAGACAAUAAACAAGUAAUAAAUUAUUGUCUAGUAUCUAUGAAGACAAUAGUUAAACUGUGGUAAUCAGUUAGACUAGAUGGGCUACUUUUGUUUGGGUGAUAAGGGAAGACUUCUUUGAACGCAGAUGCCAAAGUAUUAGGAAUCAGGCUCGGUCUGGGACUGGACCCAGAAAUCUGCGUGUCUAGCAAGAUCCCUUUGGUGCUUAUGACUUCACUUGGAGAAGUCCUGGCUUCUGACUGGCUGUGAUCCCACGUGCUCACAUAACAUAACAGCCUGGAAUGUUGGCCAUCUCCAAAACAAGAAUUAGAGCACACGACCUGCUGGAUCUAGGAGAAGACUGAAUGAAAAGCCUCUUGGAACUGCCCCAGCCAGCAAAGCUGAGCUGUAGGAUUGUUGUAACCAGUAUGGGGGAGAAGUACUGGUAGGGAUAGCCAGGUAAUGCCAUGUCUACUUCCAACUCUUGGGUUAUUCAGCCUCCAAGCCUUGGCCAGCUAGCCGCACUUCCCUGGACCCCUCUCCUGGUGGAAAAAUGGGGGUAAAUAAUGCCUGACUUGCUUCCACCCUCUGAGCUCAUGUGAAGGUCAAGUGAGACAAUGUUAGUCAAGGUGCUGUGUAAAUUUUAUAGACAAGCCAGUACGUCAAAAGAGCUACCAAGGAAGAUGAAGAAACCAAAGUUCAGAAAAGUGAAGUCCAAGGCCGGGCACAGUGGCUCAAACCUGUAAUCCCGGCACUUUGGGAGGCUGAGGCAGGCAGAUCACCUGAGGUCAUGAGUUCAAGACCAGCCUGGCCAACAUGGCGAAACACUGUCUGUACUAAAAAUACAAAAAUUAGCUGGGCAUGGUGGCGCACACCUGUAAUCCAAGCUACUCAGGAGGCUGAGGCAUGAAAAUUGCUUGAACCCAGGUGGCGGAGGUUGCAGUAAGCCGAGAUCACCCCACUGCACUCCAUCCUAGGUGACAGAGCAAAACUCCAUCUCAAAAAAAGAAAAGAAAAGAAAAAGGAAGAAAAAGAAAAGUAAAGUUCCUUAUCCAAAGUCACACAGCAGAGCCAGACAGAGCUAGGUCUCAUACCUGAAUCUCUUUAUCCUAAAUCCAGUAGUUUUUUCUACAUUAAAAUAAUGAAACUGGGGCUGGGCAUAGUGACUCACACCUGUAAUCCUAACACUUUGAAAGGCCAAAGCAGGAGGAUCACUUGAACCUAGGAGUUAGAGAUCAGCCUGGACAACACAGUGAGACCCUGUCUCUAUUUUUUUUAAGUUUUAAUAAAAAAAUGAUGGAAUUGGGAUUUGAAUUCAGGUUUUUUUGAUUCCUAACCAACUAUGGUAUUUUAUAUGCAUAUAUUUCUAAAUACAGUCAUCCUCCCUUAUCCCAGUGCAUGCCUGAAACCCCAAAUAGUACCAAACUCUAUAUAUACUAUGUUUUUCCUAUAUAUACUUACCUAUAAUAAAGUUUAAUAUAUAAAUUAGGCACAGUAAGAGAUAAACAACAAUAAAUAAUAAAAUAGAACAAUUAUAACCAUAGACAGUAAUAAAAUUUAUGUGACUGUGCUCUUUCUCUCUCAAAACAUCUUAUUGUAUGUAAUAUUUUCUGACCACAGUUGGCCACAGGUAACUGAAACAUCAGGAAGCAAAACCACAGAUAAGAGGGG
rnacentral:lncRNA from 1 species